GAUGGCGGCAGCAGGGUUGCCACGGACAUUUAACUUAUUUCUGCGCCCUUUUUCCCCUCUACAAAAUACAGCCUGGCUAAAUGCUUUGAGACUUCAGCAAGGAAAGGGUUAAGAACAUUUUCUAUGCUAUAGCUGUCAUGCGCUUGGACAGUUAACAGCCGUGUGCCGAGUCUGUUGGCAGUUGGGCGGCGGCCAUCAGGAGGAUGGGCAGAGUGAAACAGGACCUAGGAGCAGAAGGUGCUGAGCUGAUUUGGUGGUGUACAUGGUGACCAAAGGAGACUCCUUACCUGAUCUUCAAUAAAUCAGAGUCCAGCAGCUGACAAAGAGAGUGUCUAUGGAGUGGCAAAAGGUCUGGAGUUGAAGUGUUGUAUUUGCAUUUGGAAACUGUUGCUCUGAACCCACAACAUUCUGUCAGAAGAGCUCUCAAUGCAAGUGAAACAGGCCAUCCAAAGGCUACAGAAAGAAAAACAAUCCAACAGAGAGAUAGCAGGAACCUUAGAGGUGGCCAAAUCAACAGUUUGGUACAUUCUGAGGGAAAAAAGAAUGCACAGGUGGACUUGGCAACACAAAAAGGGCUGGACUUCCAUGGAAGACAACAAUGGUGGAUGAUUGCAGGAUGCUUUCCAAGAUGGACAAUGACCCAAAACAUACUGCGAAAGCAACCAAGGAGUUAUUUUAAGACAACGCAGUGGCCAAGUCAAUUACCUCAUCUCAAUCCAACUGAACAAGCAUUUUACUUGCUGAAGACAACACUAAAGGCAGAAGGACCCACGAACAAACAACUGAAUACAUCUGCAGUAAAAGCCUGGAAAAGUAUAACAAGGAAGGAAAUCCAGCAUUUGGCAAUGUCUGUGGGUUCCAGACAUCAAUGCAGUCAAUGACUGCAAAGAAUUCUUGAAAAGUAUUAAAAAUAAACAUUUUAUAAAUGUC